GGCCCCAUCGUCUAGUGGCCUAGGACACUUGGUUCUCAUCCAAGAGAUCAGGGGUUCGACUCCCCUUGGGGCCGCCA
rnacentral:tRNA from 1 species